ACAGGCGCGUACACAGUUCCCGAUCUCCUGUAGAGAUACGAGUUUCCCCUUUGGGGCGGGUUCACAGAGUGGUGCAUGGUUGUCUGUCAGCUCUGUGUCGUGAGAUGUUGGGUUAAGUCCCGCACACGAGCGCACACCCUCUUUCCAUGUUGCCAGCACGUUAGGUGGGGACUCAUGGGAGACUGCCGGGGUCAACUCGGAGGAAGGUGAGGACGACGUCAAAUCAUCAUGCCCCUUAUGUCCUGGGCUUCACGCAUGCUACAAUGGCCGGUACAAUGGGUUGCGAUACUGUGAGGUGGAGCUAAUUCCAAAAAGCCGGUCUCAGUUCGGAUUGGGGUCUGCAACUCGACCCCAUGAAGUCGGAGUCGCUAGUAAUCGCAGAUCAGC
rnacentral:rRNA from 1 species